AAGGCGCUGCCCGCGGACGGCCGCUGUUAGGGCGGCGGGAAAGGCGGCCGCAGGCCCUCGCCCAGCGGCCCUCAGCCAGCUGUCCUGCAGGGCUUGCCGCUACCUGUAGACCACCUGGGCAGCAGAGAGCUAAGCUGGAGGCAGAGCUGUGCAGACCAGCAGCAUGGACAUCAUCUAGCAUCUUCUCCCCGCCUCCCCAUCAGAUGGUACCAUGUACCAAGCGCUCUAGCUGACCUGCAAGUACAUUCAAGUUUGAGAAGCACUUUUUGUUAGGUGUAUUGCAGGAAAACAGAUCACCCCUAAAUGUUUAAAACAUCACUUCAUGCUGUGGAAACGAUGACCACCAGCUCGCUGUGGUCUUUUAUCUCUUCCGAGAGCAGCUUUUCUUAGAAAACUGGAAUGACUUUUCAUUUCAUUAAACAUGUCUUACUUAUCUGCUUUUUGCCUGGUAGACUUGGGUAUAGAAAUCGGACUGCUGAGCAGUGUGCAAUCUGGUGGGAUAUUGGCAGGUUAACAGUUGAAAUUAGGGCAAUAGAGCAUGUGUGGAAGAGAAUGACCAAAUCAAGUGAAAGCCUUGGAGCAAAAGCGCUGGUUCAGGCAGAUUAAGCAGUGAGUGUGAAAGGUGAAAUUGGUAGCCGGUAUUAAAGGCUUCCUUAAUGCUCUCAGCAUCUCAUUUUAGGCAUGUAAGUCAACCCUCUGUAUAUAAAGUUACUAAGUAAUCGCAAAGGUCAUGUUAACAAUAGUUGUGUUGUAUUUCUUGUAAACACUGGCACUGUACAGUUUCUGUGAAGCUUCACUCACCAGUAGGCUCCUUAAGUAAUUUGGCCAAGAUCAUAUAGUUAAUGAGCAGCAGAGGUCAGAUCUACCAGUUUCUGGAGCCUGAGCAUGAAGGAUGAGUUUGAGAGAAGCCACAUCACAUAUUUUGACCACCAGCAAUUUCUUCAACACAAGUUCAUCUGUAAAGGGGCAGAAUCAUACUUCUAUGGCUUUACUGAAUCACCCAUCUCUGUUUUCCCUAAAUGAUAGACUGAAUCGUAUGUUCAUUUUCUAUUGCUGUGUAACACUGCCACAAAUUUAGCAGCCUAACAUACACUUACUGUCACAGUUACUAUGGCAUGGUUUGUCUGGAUUCUCAGUGUCUCAUAGCUGAUGGCAAGGCUGCAGUCUCAUCUGAGGCUUGGGAGUUCUUUUCCAACAAUCGCUUUCAGGUUCUUAGCAGAAUUCAGUUCCUUGCUAUUGUAAGACUCAGGUCCCAGUUUUCUUGUUGGCUGCUGACUGUGGUCACUACUUUUUUUUAUU